rnacentral:rRNA from 1 species
UACGGAGGGAGCUAGCGUUGUUCGGAAUUACUGGGCGUAAAGCGCACGUAGGCGGCUUUCUAAGUCAGAGGUGAAAUCCCGGAGCUCAACUCCGGAACUGCCUUCGAUACUGGAAAGCUUGAGUUCGGGAGAGGUGAGUGGAACUGCGAGUGUAGAGGUGAAAUUCGUAGAUAUUCGCAAGAACACCAGUGGCGAAGGCGGCUCACUGGCCCGAUACUGACGCUGAGGUGCGAAAGCGUGGGGAGCAAACAGG